rnacentral:rRNA from 1 species
AGGCCGGGUGUGUAAGCGUUGCGAGACGUUGAGCUAACCGGUACUAAUGAGCCGUGCGGCUUAACCUGACAACACCGAAGGUGUUU